GGACCCGCACAAGCAGCGGAGCAUGUGGUUUAAUUCGAAGCAACGCGAAGAACCUUACCAGGGCUUGACAUCCUCCUGACCGGCGUGUAACGGCGCCUUUCCUUCGGGACAGGAGAGACAGGUGGUGCAUGGUUGUCGUCAGCUCGUGUCGUGAGAUGUUGGGUUAAGUCCCGCAACGAGCGCAACCCUUGUCUUUAGUUGCCAUCAAGUAAUGUUGGGCACUCUAGAGAGACUGCCGGGGAUAACUCGGAGGAAGGUGGGGAUGACGUCAAAUCAUCAUGCCCCUUAUGUUCUGGGCUACACACGUGCUACAAUGGCCGGUACAAUGAGAAGCAAUACGGCGACGUGGAGCAAAUCACCAAAACCGGUCCCAGUUCGGAUUGCAGGCUGAAACCCGCCUGCAUGAAGUCGGAGUUGCUAGUAAUCGUGGAUCAGAAUGCCACGGUGAAUACG
rnacentral:rRNA from 2 species